rnacentral:rRNA from 1 species
UUUUCUGCCACCGAAUACAUUAGCAUGGGAUAAUGGAAUAGGACCCUGUCCUCCUAUUUUCAGUUGGUUUUGGCAGCGCGAGGACUAGGGUAAUGAUUAAUAGGGAUAGUUGGGGGCAUUAAUAUUUAAUUGUCAGAGGUGAAAUUCUUGGAUUUAUGAAAGAUUAACUUCUGCGAAAGCAUCUGCCAAGGAUGUUUUCAUUAAUCAAGAACGAAAGUUAGGGGAUCGAAGACGAUCAGAUACCGUCGUAGUCUUAACCAUAAACGAUGCCGACCAGCGAUUAGGAGACGUUGAAUACAAAACACCACCAUCGGCGCGGUCGUCCUUGGCGUCUGUCCCUUUCAACGGGGGCAGGGGCGAGGGCGGUUUAUCCCGGUGGCACCGGAGAAUGACUCCC